UAACGAAUCUUCCGCAAUGCGCGAAAGCGUGACGGAGCAAUGCCGCGUGCAGGAUGAAGCCCUUCGGGGUGUAAACUGCUGUCAGGGUUCAGGAAGAAAGUGACCAAACCCAAAGGAAGGGCCGGCUAACUUCGUGCCAGCAGCCGCGGUAAUACGAAGGGCCCGAGCGUUGCGCGGAAUCACUGGGCUUAAAGCGUACGUAGGCGGACAUGUAGGCGUCUUGUGAAAGCCCUCGGCUCAACCGAGGAAUUGCUUGGCGAACCAUAUGUCUUGAGGCAGGUAGAGGCUGUCGGAACGAUAGGUGGAGUGGUGAAAUGCGUUGAUAUCUAUCGGAACGCCGAAGGAGAAAUCAGGCAGCUGGGCUUGUCCUGACGCUGAGGUACGAAAGCGUGGGGAGCGAACGGGAUUAGAUACCCCCGUAGUCC
rnacentral:rRNA from 1 species